rnacentral:tRNA from 1 species
ACAAUAAAAAAAAAACCAAAAAUCCUGAACUUGACCCUGACCAUGAACUUAACACUA